GGUUCCCCGGCGCCAUUUUGUCCCGGCAGCAGCAGCCCGCAGCUCUAUCCCAUUUUCUGUGAGGGAAGGACGCGGACUCUCUCCGAGUUGUGCUGAAGACAACAGACACCUCCAUGACAACCCAAAGUAUCACAGAGGAAAUGAACAGCUGUGGACUCAUUCAAAGUUAAUUAAGAUUAGGUUUGACCAUGGAAGACUUCUAGAGACUCUUGGCUGAUGAUGUGGAAAAAGAGACCCAGAAGAACAAAAAAACAGAGGCUCUGCUAAAGCCUUGCUGUAUAGUACAAGAGAGUACCUUAGUCACAAGGAUGAAAGGAUGGCUUUCUGAAGAGGAACGAGUACCACCAAUCACAAAGGAUGACAGGUGCCAAAGGGUUGGCUUCCAACAGGAACUUCAAAGACUAUUUCAGCAACAGACCCUGGAUUGUGCCACACUCAAACUAUUUUAAGGAAUUACUUUCACUUUCCAAUGUAAUAUAGUUCUUAACUGACUUACAAAAGGAGACUGCUUCAUAACAGAAGGUAAAUGAAGAGAGAUGAGUCUUGCUAAGAAUGAAAAUCUACAAAAUCCCUUUGUGAGAGAUUAUAGGCACCAUCUUUUAUUAUGAUAGAACCCAGAUUUUUUUUCCUUGUUUGUAUUAUCAAAUGCAAAACCUGCAAGAUACUAUUGCAUAAAGGACCAUAUUCAGC
rnacentral:lncRNA from 1 species